GCCGUUCUGCCUGAGAAACUGCAACUUCUCCAUGCUCUCCUUCUUUGAUUUAGGAACCUGCAGCCUGACGUUUUCCGCAUUCUGGUGCUUGGAAAGAGAAAGAAGAGAGGGGAAAAAAGAUGGAAACUAUAAACACUGGGCUUUUACCAGUCUGCCUCCAGCCAGCAGGAAGGUUCCCACAUUAGAGACCUGCUUGCUGUAAUUUGCUGUAAUGUACUUCCCUACUGAACAGGAAACAGAAUCAUGAGGUGAUGCCACUUGUCCAAGGCUACAGAGGAAGAUGGUGGCAACAGAAAGGUACCUUGACAUUUCCCAG